rnacentral:rRNA from 1 species
UGGGGAAUUUUCCGCAAUGGGCGCAAGCCUGACGGAGCAAUACCGCGUGAGGGAGGAAGGCCUUUGGGUUGUAAACCUCUUUUCUCAAGGAAGAAGUACUGACGGUACUUGAGGAAUCAGCAUCGGCUAACUCCGUGCCAGCAGCCGCGGUAAUACGGAGGAUGCAAGCGUUAUCCGGAAUUAUUGGGCGUAAAGCGUCCGCAGGUGGCACUUCAAGUCUGCUGUCAAAGACCAAAGCUCAACUCUGGAAAGGCAGUGGAAACUGGAGAGCUAGAGUACGGUAGGGGUAGAGGGAAUUCCCAGUGUAGCGGUGAAAUGCGUAGAGAUUGGGAAGAACACCAGUGGCGAAGGCGCUCUACUGGGCCGUAACUGACACUCAGGGACGAAAGCUAGGGGAGCGAAAGGGAUUAGAUACCCCCGUAGUCC